UGGGGAAUAUUGGACAAUGGGCGAAAGCCUGAUCCAGCCAUGCCGCGUGUGUGAAGAAGGUCUUCGGAUUGUAAAGCACUUUAAGUUGGGAGGAAGGGCAGUUACCUAAUACGUAUCUGUUUUGACGUUACCGACAGAAUAAGCACCGGCUAACUCUGUGCCAGCAGCCGCGGUAAUACAGAGGGUGCAAGCGUUAAUCGGAAUUACUGGGCGUAAAGCGCGCGUAGGUGGUUUGUUAAGUUGGAUGUGAAAUCCCCGGGCUCAACCUGGGAACUGCAUUCAAAACUGACAAGCUAGAGUAUGGUAGAGGGUGGUGGAAUUUCCUGUGUAGCGGUGAAAUGCGUAGAUAUAGGAAGGAACACCAGUGGCGAAGGCGACCACCUGGACUGAUACUGACGCUCAUGCACGAAAGCGUGGGGAGCAAACAGGAUUAGAUACCCGGGUAGUCCCUGAGCGGGCUGGCAAGGCGCAU
rnacentral:rRNA from 1 species